rnacentral:rRNA from 1 species
AUUGAACGCUGGCGGCAUGCCUUACACAUGCAAGUCGAACGGCAGCGGGGGAGAAGCUUGCUUUUCCUGCCGGCGAGUGGCGAACGGGUGAGUAAUACAUCGGAACGUGCCCUGUAGGGGGGGAUAACUAGUCGAAAGAUUAGCUAAUACCGCAUACAACCUGAGGGUGAAAGUGGGGGACCGCAAGGCCUCAUGCUAUAGGAGCGGCCGAUGUCUGAUUAGCUAGUUGGUGGGGUAAAGGCCUACCAAGGCGACGAUCAGUAGCUGGUCUGAGAGGACGAUAAGCAACCCUGGAACGGAGAAACGGCCCAGACUCCUACGGGAGGCAGCAGUGGGGAAUUUUGGACAAUGGGCGAAAGCCUGAUCCAGCAAUGCCGCGUGUGUGAAGAAGGCCUUCGGGUUGUAAAGCACUUUUGUCCGGAAAGAAAUGGCUCUGGUUAAUACCUGGGGUCGAUGACGGUACCGGAAGAAUAAGGACCGGCUAACUACGUGCCAGCCGCCGCCGUAA